rnacentral:rRNA from 1 species
AGAGUUUGAUUAUGGCUCAGGAUAAACGCUGGCGGCGCACAUAAGACAUGCAAGUCGAACGGACGACUAUUGAUUCUUUACGAUUUGAUAGAAGUUAGUGGCGGACUGGUGAGUAACGCGUGAGCAACCUACCUAUAAGAGGGGAAUAACAGGGAGAAAUCUUUGCUAAUACCGCAUAAGCUGAUAGGAUCGCAUGAUCUAGUCAGAAAAGGAGUAAUCCGCUAAUAGAUGGGCUCGCGUCCGAUUAGAUAGUUGGUGGGGUAACGGCCUACCAAGUCGACGAUCGGUAGCCGGACUGAGAGGUUGAACGGCCACAUUGGGACUGAGAUACGGCCCAGACUCCUACGGGAGGCAGCAGUCGGGAAUAUUGCGCAAUGGAGGAAAAACCUCUGACGCAGUGACGCCGCGUAUAGGAAGAAGUUUUUCGGAAUGUAAACUAUUGUCAUUAGGGAAGAGAAAGGACGGUACCUAAGGAGGAAGCCCCGGCUAACUAUGUGCCAGCAGCGGC